AUGGGCACCACCGCGCGCAAAACACUCCACUUUGGCGGAGUCGUGCAGCUCGCCGGCUCUCGCCCUCCUUUACAGCACACCUGGAGGGGGAAGCUCCUGUGUCUCCUGACUGAGGGGCACCCGAGAGCAAAAAACGAGAGAGCCGAGUUUUAUCGGCCAGGCGGCCCGUGCUUAAAGGUGACAUUCGAGAGAACAAUCGCUAGGUUGUUUGGUCACCUUUGCUGUGGUCAAAGAAGGAGGAGACUCAACAGCUGUUUCUUUCUCCCUUCAUUUUUCCAACAAAGAAGCUUCAUGAGAACAUUAACACCGAAAGAAAAUUGUGUUCACUGCAGGACUUUUCAAGGAUCGGUGGAAAGAUUUAUGUAA
rnacentral:lncRNA from 12 species